GGGCCUGUGGUCUAGUUAGGAAUGACGUGGGACUUCGGAUCCCAAGAUCGAGGGUUCAAAUCCCUCCAGGUCCG
rnacentral:tRNA from 1 species